rnacentral:rRNA from 1 species
CCAAUAGCGUAUAUUAAAGUUGUUGCAGUUAAAAAGCUCGUAGUUGAAUUUCGGGAUCGACGGGUCGGUCGCGCCUCUGGUGUGUACUGGCCCUGUCGGUUUCUCCCUUCUGACGAACGUCGAUGUCAUUAAUUUGGUGUCGUAGGGAAUCAGGACUGUUACUUUGAAAAAAUUAGAGUGUUUAAAGCAGGCAUUCGCUUGAAUACAUUAGCAUGGAAUAAUGAAAUAGGACGUUUGAUCUUAUUUUGUUGGUUUCUAAGAUCGACGUAAUGAUUAAUAGGGAUAGUUGGGGGCAUUAGUAUUCAAUUGUCAGAGGUGAAAUUCUUGGAUUUAUUGAAGACUAACUACUGCGAAAGCAUUUGCCAAGGAUGUUUUCAUUAAUCAAGAACGAAAGUUAGGGGAUCGAAGACGAUCAGAUGCCGUCGUAGUCUUAACCAUAAACUAUGCCGACUAGGGAUCGGAUGAUGUUAAUUUUUUAAUGACUCAUUCGGCGCCUUACG